GAUGAACGCUAGCUACAGGCUUAACACAUGCAAGUCGAGGGACCGGCACACGGGUGAGUAACACGUAUCCAACCUGCCCUUUACUCGGGGAUAGCCUUUCGAAAGAAAGAUUAAUACCCGCUCUACAGGAUGGGGAUGCGUUCCAUUAGGUUGUUGGUGAGGUCACGGAUAACCAAGCCUUCGCUGGAUAGGGGUUCUGAGAGGAAGGUCCCCCACAUUGUAACUGGUACAAGGUCCAAACGCCUACGGGAGGCAGCAGUGAGGAAUAUUGGUCAAUGGGCGCGAGCCGGAACCAGCCAAGUAGCGUGAAGGAUGAAGGCUUAUGGGUCGUAAACUUCUUUUAUAUAAGAAUAUGUAUUAUAUGAAUAAGGAUCGGCUAACUCCGUGCCAGCAGCCGCGGUAAUUC
rnacentral:rRNA from 1 species